UACGUAGGGUGCAAGCGUUGUCCGGAAUUAUUGGGCGUAAAGAGCUCGUAGGCGGUUUGUCGCGUCUGCUGUGAAAAACCCGAGGCUCAACCUCGGGCCUGCAGUGGGUACGGGCAGACUAGAGUGCGGUAGGGGGAGAUUGGAAUUCCUGGUGUAGCGGUGGAAUGCGCAGAUAUCAGGAGGAACACCAAUGGCGAAGGCAGAUCUCUGGGCCGUAACUGACGCUGAGGAGCGAAAGCAUGGGGAGCAAACAGG
rnacentral:rRNA from 1 species